rnacentral:rRNA from 1 species
AUUGAACGCUGGCGGCAUGCUUUACACAUGCAAGUCGAACGGUAACAGGCCGCAAGGUGCUGACGAGUGGCGAACGGGUGAGUAAUGCAUCGGAACGUGCCCAGUCGGGGGGGAUAACGCAGCGAAAGCUGCGCUAAUACCGCAUACGAUCUAUGGAUGAAAGCGGGGGACCGUAAGGCCUCGCGCGAUUGGAGCGGCCGAUGGCGGAUUAGGUAGUUGGUGGGGUAAAGGCUCACCAAGCCAACGAUCUGUAGCUGGUCUGAGAGGACGACCAGCCACACUGGGACUGAGACACGGCCCAGACUCCUACGGGAGGCAGCAGUGGGGAAUUUUGGACAAUGGGCGCAAGCCUGAUCCAGCAAUGCCGCGUGCAGGAAGAAGGCCUUCGGGUUGUAAACUGCUUUUGUACGGAACGAAACGGUCCUGGUUAAUACCCGGGGCUAAUGACGGUACCGUAAGAAUAAGCACCGGCUAACUACGUGCCAGCCGCCGCAGUAACAC